UACGGGGGGGGCAAGCGUUGUUCGGAAUUACUGGGCGUAAAGCGCACGCAGGCGGAUUGAUAAGUCAGGGGUGAAAUCCCGGAGCUCAACUUCGGAAUUGCCUUUGAUACUGUCUGUCUUGAGUCCGGGAGAGGUGAGUGGAAUUCCUAGUGUAGAGGUGAAAUUCGUAGAUAUUAGGAAGAACACCAGUGGCGAAGGCGGCUCACUGGCCCGGUACUGACGCUCAUGUGCGAAAGCGUGGGGAGCAAACAGG
rnacentral:rRNA from 1 species